rnacentral:rRNA from 1 species
CCUACGGGGGGCAGCAGUGGGGAAUAUUGGACAAUGGGGGGAACCCUGAUCCAGCCAUACCGCGUGUGUGAAGAAGGCCUUAGGGUUGUAAAGCACUUUCAGAGGUGAGGAAAGGGUGAGUGUUAAUACCACUUAUCUGUGACGUUAGCCUCAGAAGAAGCACCGGCUAACUCUGUGCCAGCAGCCGCGGUAAUACAGAGGGUGCGAGCGUUAAUCGGAAUUACUGGGCGUAAAGCGCGCGUAGGUGGUUUGUUAAGUCUGAUGUGAAAUCCCAGGGCUCAACCUUGGAAUGGCACCGGAUACUGGCAGGCUAGAGUACGAUAGAGGAGUGUGGAAUUUCCUGUGUAGCGGUGAAAUGCGUAGAUAUAGGAAGGAACAUCAGUGGCGAAGGCGACACUCUGGAUUGAUACUGACACUGAGGUGCGAAAGCGUGGGUAGCAAACAGGAUUAGAUACCCUGGUAGUCCACGCCGUAAACGAUGUCUACUAGCCGUUGGGUUGUAAUGACUUAGUGGCGCAGCUAACGCGAUAAGUAGACCGCCUGGGGAGUACGGCCGCAAGGUUAAAACUCAAAUGAAUUGACGGGGGCCCGCACAAGCGGUGGAGCAUGUGGUUUAAUUCGAAGCAACGCGAAGAACCUUACCUACUCUUGACAUCCACAGAAUUUUUGAGAGAUCAGAAAGUGCCUUCGGGAACUGUGAGACAGGUGCUGCAUGGCUGUCGUCAGCUCGUGUUGUGAAAUGUUGGGUUAAGUCCCGUAACGAGCGCAACCCUUGUCCUUAUUUGCCAGCACUUUGGGUGGGAACUUUAAGGAGACUGCCGGUGACAAACCGGAGGAAGGUGGGGACGACGUCAAGUCAUCAUGGCCCUUACGAGUAGGGCUACACACGUGCUACAAUGGCGUAUACAGAGGGUUGCGAACUUGCGAGAGUAAGCGAAUCCCAUAAAGUGCGUCGUAGUCCGGAUUGGAGUCUGCAACUCGACUCCAUGAAGUCGGAAUCGCUAGUAAUCGUGAAUCAGAAUGUCACGGUGAAUACGUUCCCGGGCCUUGUACACACCGCCCGUC